rnacentral:rRNA from 1 species
CAGCCGCCACGGUAAUACGAAGGGUGCAAGCGUUAAUCGGAAUUACUGGGCGUAAAGCGUGCGUAGGCGGUUUGUUAAGUCUGCUGUGAAAUCCCCGGGCUCAACCUGGGAAUGGCAGUGGAUACUGGCAAGCUAGAGUGUGUCAGAGGAUGGUGGAAUUCCCGGUGUAGCGGUGAAAUGCGUAGAGAUCGGGAGGAACAUCAGUGGCGAAGGCGGCCAUCUGGGACAACACUGACGCUGAGGCACGAAAGCGUGGGGAGCAAACAGGAUUAGAUACCCCGGUAGUCCCUGUCUCUUAUAC